GGGGACCAGUGACCCCUCCGCCCACCCACUAGCUCCGCCUGUGAAUUCAGUCAUUGUCACAGUCUUUUUUAUUAAGCACGAGCUUCAAAAAACGGAGAAUGGUGCCAGGGGGCUCCCAGUCAUUGCAUUCAACCGAAAAGGACUGGCUCACUGUGCGAAAUAGCCGAGGGCCGAGAAAACACUGGCAAGCAGUAAGUGAUGGCAUUGAUGCUGUUUAUACUGGAGCGGCGCCAUCGACCGAGCUCAUUUUGUUCACUCCCUCUGAAUUCCGCUAGCGUAAAGCGGCUAUAACAUCAAAAAAGGUCCUCGCUCCGUCGAGUCAAUCACAACAAUUAGCGUUCGUCAUCCCACGGGAGAAUAUAAAGGCAUUGUCGGAACCGUCAAAAAAUAAUAAUUGCAGCGAGGGAUUGUUUGGAUGCGAACAAAAGCAUGUGACAGCAUUCAAUUUCGGUGAUGUCGCGUCAGACGUCGUCGCCGUCAAGCUCAGUUUUUUUCGAUUGACACCUGUCAACAGUCUCCACGGCAAUGUAACACGAAUUAACAACCAAGAAUGUGGCUUUGUAGGCCUUUGAGAACAAAAUAUAUCUGGUCUGAUAGUGUUGUGGGUUCACUUGUGGUCAUAAAAAGAGCUCUUCGCGCACAUAAUCUUCCGAAUGAAGGCUGUCACAGCUCGUUUCGUGAAGUCGACGUUCGUGUUGGAAAGUCAAUCUAUGGCGAGACCGGAAGAGUAUUAACACUCGCCGUUGUGCUACGAUAAGGUUCACGUUCGCUGUAUUUACAUGGAAAUAAUUUAAGACGUGUCAUUAAAGCUCGACCGGAUUGAAAACAUCCCGCCGGUGUGCCACAGGAGGCUCCGCCCACCAGCAAACACACAGGAAUGGCAGAGCAGCCUGGCAGAAAUCAUGAGCAUGUCACAGAAAUCGGACAUGUGGCAGUGGUUCUUCCUGCAUGGCUCUUAUGUAGGACAGACGCGGCAUUGUUGCUUCCAGCAGAGGCCUUGGAAGCUGCACGCAGGGUCACGGCUUUCGCAGGGGCGCCCCUCCCAAGAUGGCCGCCACCUACGCACGUCGGUUAGCCUAGCAGCUACAUCACCAGCUGGUCUUCAUUUCAUUGAGUGGAAAUGUUUGCUGGGUCCGGAUAAGCACAUGGGCAGCAGGUAAGAACUGUUUGGCUCUUUGCACUAGCAGUUUAUGUUCAUUGA